GCCCUUCUCAGAAGCUCCUUGCUGCGGAUCGUGAGCCGACUGGGUCUCAACCUACUCCAAGGGCCGAUGUGGAGGGUCAGACUUCACCUAAGAGCAGCGAGCGUGCUGUGGAAAGAAGAGCCUAGGCAGACAGUCUCCUGCACACGACACAGGACUAGGUUGACUUAGGUGACAGCAGAGAGCAAGAGUGGUUGGGCAACAGCACUGCCAUGUGAUGGCCAGUUUCUGCUUCACCCAGAAGAUUGCAUUCCGUCAAGGCAUAGAGAGGUUAGCAUCUGCGCAGGUUAAAGACUGAUCGGGAGAAGGGAGAGCCAGACCUCCAGGAAAAGACCUCCCUUCUUCCUGUGCCAUUUGAGACAGCAGGGCUUCAUUACAUCACCCAAAGUGACACCAGAGCGACCCUCUAGUCACUUAGCCUACGGCACAGGCAUGUGCCGUGUCCAACUUCUUUUAUGAUUGUGUGUAUAUAUUAUAUGAUUGUGUAUAUAUAUUACAUGAUUGUGUGUAUAUAUUAUAUGAUUGUGUGUGUAUAUAUUAUAUGAUUGUGUGUAUAUAUUAUAUGAUUGUGUGUAUAUGUUAUAUGAUUGUGUGUAUAUAUUAUAUGAUUGUGUGUAUAUAUUAUAUGAUUGUGUGUAUAUGUUAUAUGAUUGUGUGUAUAUAUUAUAUGAUUAUGUGUAUAUAUUAUAUGAUUGUGUGUAUAUGUUAUAUGAUUGUGUGUAUAUGUUAUAUGAUUGUGUGUAUAUAUUAUAUGAUUGUGUGUAUAUAUUAUAUGAUUGUGUGUAUAUAUUA
rnacentral:lncRNA from 1 species